rnacentral:rRNA from 1 species
UUGAACGCUGGCGGAAUGCUUUACACAUGCAAGUCGAGCGGCAGCGCGGCCUUCGGGCUGGCGGCGAGCGGCGAACGGGUGAGUAAUGCAUCGGAACAUGCCCAGUCGUGGGGGAUAACACUUCGAAAGAAGUGCUAAUACCGCAUACGUCCUGAGGGGGAAAGCGGGGAAUCGCAAGACCUCGCGCGAUUGGGGUGGCCGAUGUCAGAUUAGCUAGUUGGUGGGGUAAAGGCCUACCAAGGCGACGAUCUGUAGCUGGUCUGAGAGGAUGAUCAGCCACACUGGGACUGAGACACGGCCCAGACUCCUACGGGAGGCAGCAGUGGGGAAUUUUGGACAAUGGGGGCAACCCUGAUCCAGCCAUUCCGCGUGAGUGAAGAAGGCCUUCGGGUUGUAAAGCUCUUUCGGCAGGAACGAAACGGUGGGCUCUAACAUAGUCCGCUAAUGACGGUACCUGAAGAAGAAGCACCGGCUAACUACGUG